UUUUCACCGCUACGUGGUGAUAGGGUUUCAACGUUCAAGUGUCUGUAAAGCGAGAAAAUUUUCAUUAUUAUGAAAAAAAAAUUGAUUAAGAACCUUGUUGAAUGUGACUUUUGUGAUACCGUCUUCCAAAUUAGAUCCUUAUCUUUUUUUUUAUACGCCAUCUGAUCAGCAAGAUGCACGAAUAAAAAUUUACAAAUUCCCUCCAAAUAAGUAGAUUAUUUUAAAAAGCUGUGCCUUCACAUAUAUUUUUAUACAUGUAAUGAUGUUUGUGGCAAUUAUAAACGUAUAUAAAAAGAGAGUAUAUGUAUAUAGAUGGAGUUUACAUCUGACUUUGAACGAAUUAAAGUACUAAGAGUAUAUAAUUCAUUUUUUAAAGAAUCAUUCGUUUGUAAUUUAAGAUACAGUCCCAUUUAAUUAAUUGUUUUUACUACAUUAUCAUGUUUUUCAACAAUCGCAAUAUACACGGAAAUUUGUUAUAUUUGAUUCGAUAUUUUACUUUGUGUAUACGUUGAGCUCGCGACGCAUAUGUAAUAUGAUAUAACGCAAAUAUUUAGGGUGUGUUACUUUACAAUACAGCUAGAUAAUACAAGAAGAAAGAAAAAAGAAAAAAAUACGAUGUUUUCUUAAUAUUUAAACGUAUUUAAUACUUUAGUUAUUUUUAACACGAUUGAAAAGUUGAUCCGAUAAUAUAUCAACGAUAAUCUGGUAAUUUAUCAGAACUAAGCACCCCAUGUUCUACAAGACAUGUUCUGAGAAGUACCUAGUUUUUAUUUCAUUUCACAAGUUCUGCAAUAUUUAUUGCUGAAGGAAAGGAGGAUCUACGCGAAAGUUUUAAAGUAACCACGAUGGUCAUUAAGAAGCAGGAUUAUCAUCUAUUUGUCUCUCAGACAUUUCUUAAUCAUUUCUUUACAAUUAAAUUCUUUCAUCUAACUUUAGGAAUAUUGAUAACCGAAGUAUUUAUAUUUUAUAAACAUGUUAUUCUAAAAUCUUAUCAGAUUUAUCAUUCAGUCUCAUAAAAUGAGUAGUACGUGGUUCUUCGAUGCAAUCCUAAACGAUGAGAAGUAUUACGUAAAUACGUUUUCCGAUCCUUUUAAUAUAUGUGUAGUGCAUAAUCAGAUGAAAUAUCGUUUACCAUAAAUAUUUCUCAUACUGAUAACCGUUCUAUUCAGAAACACUUUGUAUAUGUUCUUUCAUUACUUGUUGUAUAAACUGUGGCUGACGCAAACGGGAAAAAGCUCAGGCAGAUGGCCGUUCCUUAUCGUUCGAUGCAAAUUACAAAUUUUCCAUUAUAACUGGCAGUUUGAUUAUGAAUUGGACAAAUAUUAACUCAUGACGCGAAAAAAAUGUAUCUGAAAUAAUCGUGUGAAUAAGCAGAAGAUUUUAACUCCUUACCUCGUGGUACAAGAUAAAAAUUGCAGUACAAAUCGACCUAAAAAAUGUGUCAAUAUUAACUUGGAAUAAAUGCGUCAUCUAUGACUUCAAGAGAAUAUGCACGAAAAUCACGCUUUCUCACGUACUUCGGUAAACGAUGACGUCAAGAUUCAGCUGAAAACAGAUUCCUCUGUGUUUUUGGGGAUUUUCGGAUUACCUGAUUUCGUCUUUUACCGUCCCCGGUAACGUUUAAUGAAUUCUUGAAGUUCUUCUUUCUACGGAACAACGCUUCGAAGUAGUUUCGAUAGAAAAUCAAAGAUCGUGCGGUAUAUUAAAAUCCAUGUAUAACUGCAAAUGUCGAUAUGUCGCAUUAUCGUUGAUCAUUAAAGUAGAUAGAUUUACGAGCACGUCUUACGUUCGUUAAGCUGAAGAGAAGCCAUUAAUAGUAGGUUGUUAUCGAAUGUCCAUUUCCGCGGGUGUGGUUUAUCAGCGAGACAUUAGAUGAGGUUAAAAAUAGAAAAUACUUUGUCAUAAUACAUAGGUAUAUACGACCGAUAUAUGACUUCAGUAUAUGCUAUGAUAUUAUCUAUAUCCGAAGAUAUUAGAAAGAUAUAAAGAUCAAAUAUAUAUCCAUAUGUAUACAUACAAAUUGGCUCGCAAAGGUAUUCGUACAUUUACCAUGAAAAAUUUUCAUGUGCGUGUCAUGCGUAUUAUAUAAAACAUUCUGAAAUUUUAUUAACGCUGUGAUGAGACACGACUGAUAUGACUAUGUCGGCAAAACUCAAAUCCAAUUUGAAAAUAUACAUGCAUACUUAGAAGUUGCAAGGUAUUUACUGUAAACUUAUAUUUUGUGAAAAGUUAGUAUUAUGAAUAAUUAGUAGAAAAAUCUUAGGCAUAUUAUAAUAACUAUUAAAGUGAAUGAUUGCCUGUUCAAAUAUUUUUGUGUCUGCAAAAUAUAUACAUCUUGCAAUUUCUAUAUACGUUUACAAAAAACUCAAAAAAAGGAAUCCCAAAAAUCCAAAAUUCUAUCAAAUAAUAGUUAUUAAUAAUCAUAAUACUUGGGCGUCGUUACAGUACCAAUAAAAUUUUGAAAUGUUUCGUUUAACAUACGUGAUAAUGUUCAUGAGAAGUGUGCGACUACUACGAGAGCUAAACAGUUGCAUUUUUUACCACUAUCUGCAUAUGUAUCCAACAAUGUGGAAUGAUUUAUUAGAUUAAUUUCCUCGAUAGAAAAUGUUAUGUUAAUGUAACAUUUCAUCUCUAGCUAUGUGUAUGUUAAUGAAAUAUAAAUUACAAAGGGUUUACAGAUUAAUUUCUUAAAAACUAAAGUUAUGUUCAUAUUACAUAUGAUUUGCAAUCUUUCUUCCACUAUUUUCCACAGGGUUAUUCUAAUAUUUUCGUAAUCUAUGCGUUAAAAUAUAUCGAUUGGCAUAUAACACGUGCAUUUUAUAAGAUAUGACUUUGCAAAUAUUUCCUUCCUAUGUUAUUCUCAAGGCGAUGGUAAUAAUGCGACAAAAAGUUUUGAAAAAUUCAUUAAUAAUUUAUCAUUAAUUGCUAUUUUUAUCCUUAGAAUUUGAUGAACUUUGGAGUACGAAUUCAUAACAUCAUAAUAAAUUAUCCUCUUUGAAAUUAUGACACCUUCACAUGUCUAUUACAUUAGUAUAAUCAGCAUCUAUGAAGCAACGUAUAAGAUAUUUUCCUCCGACUUUUUACGUAUUUAUUCACGUUUUUUUUUUUUUUUUUUUUUUUUUUGAGUAAAUAAAAGCGGAUUGAGUUACGAUUAAUUAUAUAAAAUAUACAUGAAACCAGGAGGCGAAGAAGGGAAUAAUAGAUCAUAUCAAUUGUUAAACACAAUAAUAUCCAAUAAUAGAUUAAGAUAAAACGUCUCUCGAAAUUGUAUCGAUGGUAUCAAUUAAUAUUGUAUAAUACAAAAUGUACUCUCUUCUUCUAAAAAUAAAAUUCGAAGGAUUAUAGUA